AGUGAACGCUGGCGGCAGGCCUAACACAUGCAAGUCGAGCGGCAGCGGGUUCCCGCGAGGGGAUGCCGGCGAGCGGCGGACGGGUGAGGAACACAUCGGAAUCUGCCUGGUUGUGGGGGAUAACGUAGGGAAACUUACGCUAAUACCGCAUGCGACCCUGAGUCGACGGACUGGGGGUGAAAGUGAGGGACCUUCGGGCCUCACGCGACCAGAUGAGCCGAUGUCGGAUUAGCUAGUUGGCGGGGUAACGGCCCGCCAAGGCGACGAUCCGUAGCUGGUCUGAGAGGAUGAUCAGCCACACU
rnacentral:rRNA from 1 species